rnacentral:misc_RNA from 1 species
GCGGAAGGAUCAUUAAAGAGUAAGGGUGCUCAGCGCCCGACCUCCAACCCUUUGUUGUUAAAACUACCUUGUUGCUUUGGCGGGACCGCUCGGUCUCGAGCCGCUGGGGAUUCGUCCCAGGCGAGCGCCCGCCAGAGUUAAACCAAACUCUUGUUAUUAAACCGGUCGUCUGAGUUAAAAUUUUGAAUAAAUCAAAACUUUCAACAACGGAUCUCUUGGUUCUCGCAUCGAUGAAGAACGCAGCGAAAUGCGAUAAGUAAUGUGAAUUGCAGAAUUCAGUGAAUCAUCGAAUCUUUGAACGCACAUUGCGCCCCUUGGUAUUCCGAGGGGCAUGCCUGUUCGAGCGUCAUUACACCACUCAAGCUAUGCUUGGUAUUGGGUGCCGUCCUUAGUUGGGCGCGCCUUAAAGACCUCGGCGAGGCCUCACCGGCUUUAGGCGUAGUAGAAUUUAUUCGAACGUCUGUCAAAGGAGAGGACUUCUGCCGACUGAAACCUUUUAUUUUUCUAGGUUGACCUCGGAUCAGGUAGGGAUACCCGCUGAACUUAAGCAU